UUUUUUUGCUUUGUUUCUGCUUUUGUAUUUUAAUCUCGUGCUUUUGAUUUCUCCACAGCAAAAUGCCCCUCAUAUCUCCCAAAUCCCUGAAAGGUUUCAAUUGCAAGCCGAAAUACCCAGCUGAGUGUGCUCCGACUCAAUUCUCUAUUUUUUUUCCUCUCUAAAAGUCAUCAAAACCACUGCAUCUCCUCUCACUCUUCUGAGGGUUUUUUAAAAAGUGUUUUGUAAAGUAGGUUCUUCAUUAAUCUGUUUGUCUUAAGCUGCUUAAAAAUACUCAUUGGCUGUAUCGGGAGCCAAGCUUAAAAAAAAAACCGUUCAGGAUUUGUGGAGGAUUGAGUUGAAUUUCUCAGCUGUCUGGAACUGGCAUUAGUGCUCAGCAUCCUAAGAAGGGUGAUAUUCCUGCUUUCCUGGUACUCACCAGCCCAAUUUUGGGUUCAUGGAGCAAAGUCACGUGCUUUUGGGUUUUUUUUCCAUUUUGUGAUUUUACUGCCUUCUGCUGGUCAAAGAUGAUCAGGCUGGGCUUAAAUUUUUUAUAAUCAGCACAUGAUCUAACAUUUAGCUGCAGUGCAAAUGCCAACAAUAGAUGCUUUGUGUAUUUCUUGGUGUUUUUGGGGGUUUUUUUUCUGCAGGCUCAUGGAUAUAUUUCACUUUACAAUCAGUAAAGAGGAUUGUAGGUUUUAAUGUGCAGGCUACAUCUUGUUUCAGAAGUCUGCUGUUGGCUUGAAGUGGGGAUGUAGCAGAUCACCUUUCUAAUCCUUCCCUGCCUCUCAGUUCCCUGCUUGCCCUUUGCUCCCAGGAUAAAGAAAAAAAGAUUUAAAAAUAAAAACCCUGUUUGCAUAAACUCAUAAAACUGUGACCCCACGACAGUGCACAAAGAAAGAGGCCUGCUGCCUCCAGAAUUUCAUGAUCUGUUUUAGGAAUUAUAGUUGUUUAAAGUUUUAUCUUUGCUUUUAUUCCCUGAGACAGAGAUGGAUGUUCUUGUCUGUCUGUGUAGGGGCUGGAAGGUGGAGAGCUGAGGAGCUGACAGGGCUUGGAUCUGCCUAAAUGUACAAGGAAUUAUCCAGCUGAUCAAAGGAAAUGGCUCUUCCCCUUCCUGCACCUUCCUGCUCUCAAAUUUAAUAACCAUGCCCUGAAUUGAUAGGCCACAAAAGGUACCACCUGGAUAUACACUAUAAAUCCCCUGGGCAGGCAGGCUGUGAGAAGGAAGACAUUUAUUUUCUGUUUUUUGGUUUUUUUUCCCACAAAAAACCAAAGCUUUGAUUGCCAAAUAAUCACUCAGGCAACCAUAAAUAAUUGUCUGUAAAAGAGUUUUCUUCCCAUCUACCAAUUCCUAUUUCUUGCAGAGGGAGUGGGAGGGAACUGAGUUCAACAAACUCAAAACAAAUGUCACAGAGUUUACACUUUCAGCAUUUUAAUGGCAUAAAACCAUCUCUGAGCUCCAUGUGAAUGUCAUAAGAUUUUGAAAAUCUGUGUUCCUGCAAAAUAUCAUUUGUCUCUUCUUUAUUUUUUAAUAGGUAAGCAAGGUGGGUAACACCAAGUGGCAAUGGCAAGAUUAAAAAUUAGAGGAGAUACUCUGAUUUAUGGAGAUACACAACAUUUAUCCUCUAAACACAGCAGAAUGGUAAGAGAACACUGGGCAGUGGGGAAUGAAGCUUCUGCUCCUGUUCCUGCCACUGUUCCACCAUCAGUAAUCUGCAAUAUAUUUAGAAAAGCUCAUUAAACAUUUGGGCAAAUGUGCUUUCCCAAAUAUUGUUGCCUGAGGAGAGCAGGCCUUGGGUCAAGUAGCUGGAGAGAAGGGAAUUCUCCUCGUUUAUUUUUAGUUUCAUUUCCUAGGGAAGUAAGCCAUCUGUGGUCUGUUUCCCUCUGGAAAGUUUUGAAACUUCUCUGCCAUUCAAGUUUGCAGAGCCUGAGAGUUGUUAAAUAAUUCCAGUUUUUGUGGGAGUAGCUGCUCAGGUAAAAAGAGACUCUGGAACAGGAAAAGGGGAAAGCAUGGGAAUUCAGACUGUGUGAAUUUGUGCAUCCUUUCAAGCAGCAGUGAGGGUGAAAGGGGCAACAGGAGCUGGAUUGCUCUGAUGUGGUUCUCCCCCAAAUUAGCCAGCAAACUUCUGCUGGUACCACUCAGUCCCUCCAAAUCCAGAUUUCCUUUCUCGGUCCCAGGGUUAGGGUAAGGAAGAGGAGAUUCAGCAGGGUACUUGGAAGAGUCUCUGCCCAGGCUACCCUUAAUGUAAGAUCCUCGUUAGGCAAGAGGAAAUAAAAUAUAUUAAUGCCAUUUAUAGGGUGCUGAACUGGGAAAGGUUGAGAGCUGGGCUCGGGGUAGAAACAUAAACUACAAAAAUGGUAAACAUGAGCAAGAAUUAAUGGAAGCUCUGUUGGGAAGGCUUUGAGUCCUUAUCGGGAAGAUUUAAUUUCUUGAACCCACCUUUUGAAGUGAAGAAAUCUUAAAAUAAAUGUGCCAGGAGACAGUGAAGCAGAAGUGAAGUUGCCAUCAAACACCAGCAUGUGAAGAAGGCUCUGGAAAGCCUGGUACAGUUCAGUGGGUCCAUAAAUGAAAUAACAGGGAUGUCAGGGAUGUAGUGAAGGCUGCAGGAAUUUGGAGAGUCCUCCCUCCUUACAUCUCCUGGUUUCUCAUUGAUCCAGCAGAAUUUGGGUACUGGGCAGCCUGAGGACAGCAGCACGUUCUCUCUUGCCAGAGCUGUCCAGAGGAGAUGGUGUUUGUGCAGUUUGUGCCACGCUGAUGUGCAGCUCUUUAUAUUUAAAGAUUUGCCAAGAGAGGCAGAGAUUUAUUUGGCCCUUCCCGGGUGCUGCCAGGAGGUGGCUCCCUGAAUUUGCAAUCCCUAUUUACAGCUUUGUUUAUGGAAUUACUCUGGACGCGUUUUCCGUGGAAAAUGUUUUCCCUGCCUCUGCCCUGAGGAAGUUUACGUCAGAAGAACAAGGAAGCCCUGGGCUCAGGAAAUAAUCUGCUAACAGGCAAGCCAAGGAUCAGUUCACUUGUCCAAAUGUUUUCUGGCUGGGAUCCAAAGGGAUUUUUCCUGUGCAUGACCUAAUCUUGUAAGAUUAUUUCUAUCAGGCUGAAGGAGUUACAUCUGUGUUGGUAGGGUGCACUUACCAAAUUUGAUUAUAGCCCAGUAAAAGUCAUUCUCAAUUAUAAAAAAAAUCAUUUUAGUCACAUGCUUUGAAGGAUGCUGGUGGUUCAUGGACAGGUAUCCUGGUGAAUUGCUUAAAAUGCUGCUUCAUUCUCCCCCUUUCAGUGUGAGAGUGGAUCAGGGUCCUGUGUCUGGACUCCUUUUGGAGGCAGGGAUGUUCCCAAAGGCUGAUGUGUUCUUCUGUUGGAAUCCAGUGUGGAAUGAGCCAGGUUCCUUCUGUGCUUCCUAAAACACGGUGAAGAAUUACAGUGUGUUAAAGAAGAGUAACUAUUCAGUAUCCUCACAAUGCUGAGGUCCAUUUUAUAUCCAGAUGGGAUGGCUGGAGCUCCUCUGACCCAGCUCUCAGCUACAG